rnacentral:lncRNA from 1 species
GAAUAUAUUGUUCUUUAACUGUACUGACGUUGAAUUGACUAAUUAAUAAUGAAUAAUUUGGUUUUUUUUCUUUUUUGUUGGAUGUCAAAUAUUGUUUGACUCACAUUUUUAUAGUGUGCGAUUUAUAAAAAAAAUUAGAUGAUUUAUUUAUUUUCUGUAUUUUUUCCUAAAUGAAUGUAGACUUUUUGUUUUAGAUAUCAUUCAUUAUCUUCUUCAUUUUUUUCCCUGCAAAUUUAUCAUAUUUAGGUCAGCGACAGCUGUACAUUACUU